rnacentral:rRNA from 1 species
UACGGGGGGGAGCAAGCGUUGUUCGGAUUUGAUCUGGCGUAAGGGCGCGAGUAGGCGGCCAGCCACAAGAUCAGUUGUUGAAAUCACCGAGCUUAACUCGGAAAGGUCAACUGAUACUGUGCGGCUAGAGUGCGGAAGGGGCAACUGGAAUUCUUGGUGUAGCGGUGAAAUGCGUAGAUAUCAAGAGGAACACCUGCGGCGAAGGCGGGUUGCUGGGCCGACACUGACGCUGAGGCGCGAAAGCCAGGGGAGCGAACGGG